ACUACCUUCUCUGAGCCUCCGCUCCUUAACCGGCCAAGAUGGGAACAACGGUAAGACCACUCACUCACAGAAGACCUGGGACAAUUAACCCAGAUUAGAAAGUGACUGCACAUAGAGAGCACUCCAAUGCUCCCGUUAUUAUGAUCUGCGGAAGAAUAAAAAAGGAGAGAGCAUCGGAAGGAAGGAAAGGAGAGAAGAGAGAAACCAGGCUGGCCCACCGGUGCAGCCAACCUCUGGCCACUCUCCAGCUUGCUGUGUUUUCCAAGCGUCCUAAGGCACCGCUCUCUGCUCCACCUAGGACGUGGCAGGUGGAGGAAGGCACGGACGGUCUCCAGGCUGUCUGAUUCUCAGGGUUUCAUAUCCACCACCGGAGGCGGUCCCCUCCACCUUUCGGCCCUACUCACCAGGUUCCCCCACAGCAGAGCCGGUUUCCCAUGGCGGUUGUGUCUCCCAGGGAGCCCAGCUGGUUUUCAGACAUAAAGAGGUUUGCGCAUUUCCUGGUUCCCGGCUGAGCGAACGGCAACGGCUCCCAGGAAGUCUGUCAGGAUCAGAUUUCAACCGAGUAGGUUGGACCUUGGAAGCCACCUGGUGGAAUGAUUCCCAAGUGACUGUUCGCAGCCAAAGGGCAGGAAGACACACGGGCUCCAGGUGAGAGUUAUCUCACCUUAGGGAUUUGAAACUCCUUUUGAUGAAGCUGCAAGCUUCGAUUUAUAAAGAAACCUGAGAUACAAAAGGGCUCUGAGUUUCCAUAGGAAAUGUGUCUCUCUGUAUCGCACGGCCUUUGAAAUAGACCCUCCAUAAGGGAGUCAAAGCUCGGCCACUACGUUUGCCCUACCACACUCAGGUUUGAGUUUCACUGUCAAGGUAAUUGGUACUAGUUUCUGAUGUCCUCAAUUUGGGUUUGAAUCCUAGAGGCUUUUGGAACCUGAAAUGUAGGAAAAUGGAAUGCUCUCAUAUUCCCACGACUAGAAUUAAUAAUGUGCGCAUAUCUCCUAACCAUUUACCAUCUAGAUUUCCAGCACACCAAGGCAUAAGUACUGAAUGUAUUACUUAAUCCUCUUUCUGGUAUAAACCAGAUGGCUAACUGAUUGGCACGGAGCACUCAAUGUUCUCUCCCCAGUCCAGGACCAUGAAAUCUCUACUUACCCCUGCUUGUAGCUUCUGCUUCCAAUGACCCAAAAUUGGAUUCACUCUUCCCUGGCCAGAAACUAUGAGGCAGCUGAAUGAAUUCCCCUGAGACAAUAUGUUACCAGGUUGAGUAUGGUGUAUACCUCCUGGCACUCGGGAGGCAGGAGGAUGAGGAUCUCUGAGAGUUUGAGGCCAGCCUGGGCUACAGGAGCAAGUUUCAGGACAGCCAGGAAUUCAUAGAAUUCAUAGAGGUACCCUGUCUUAAAUAAACAGAAACAAACAAGAGAGAAAGAAAGGAAAGAGAGAAGGGAGAAUAUGUCUCUAAGAAAAUCUUUGAAACCUGCAAUUCCGAUCUUCAAUAUUUUCUUGGCAUUUUGAGUAUUGUCCUGGAAUAUUCAUAGUCAGCCCUGAACUCCAUGGAGUACACUGGAUUCUGAAUUCCUCCUCAUCUUGGGAAAAACGGGCCUGAGAGUGGCCACUUCAUAGGGCUGUGAUAACUGAAUGAGGUAUGUGUGUACAAAGCUUCUGAACAGGCCAGACGCAUGGGACGCCCUCAGUAAGUCUUAACCAUUGUUACUACUAUUGUUCUCAGUGAUCAGAUGGCUAAGCAUUGUAUUCUACUAUCUCAUGUUCCAAUCCUGCAGGCCAUUCCGUAUCCUACUAUUAACUACAUUCCUUUCAUCCUGUAACCUGCGUCCCUGUCUCAAAAGCCAGUAAUAAUUUCCUAUCACUUACAGGAUAGAACUCUCAAAGCCCUUCAUAAUUUGCUUCACUUCCAUCCAACCUCUUUGGCAGCUUAAAGGAUCUUACCCAGAUUUUUAGAGGGCCAGAAACUGCACAGAAAAGACAAAAAAGCACCCGGUACACCUUAAAACACAGCAACCGGAGUGUAGAGGGUUAACAAAGCCUGGAGAGGAUUGUAUCGAAAUCCAACCCAGUUAGUCCUUAUCUGGAAGUCUUUGAGACUUCUCAUUGACGUUCAGGUUCUAUUGUCAGUCUGUUACAAAAGAGAUUGUGUGUGGAAGAGGCAGUGCAGAAAGUGCCACAAAAUAUGGCUGAAUGGACAAGUCACAGCUUUACUGCUUAGAAGAAAUUAACCAGCCUUGGUUAUGCCAGCCUGUUGGAAGCCCCGAGUGAAUGUGUACUUUGAUAUGGGCUCAGCCUUUAAAAUAUGGAUGUUUAUGAGUGAGUGAUCAUUGUGUACCAAGAUUAGCCACUUUGGCUUCCUCCUCAUAAGUGGUUGAAGCCCAACACAGAGCCUCCCACCAAGACCAACCCCUGUGCUGUAGCUAAUAAACAUGGUGAGGUGUUGGAGAACCUGAUCCUAGAUUCAGUGUAUGUUCGUCUGUGCGUCUGUCUGUCUUUUCUUCAUUUCCUUGACACUCCUAGCUAGGGUUCUUGGACCUGAGUUUUUUAGGCUGCUGCGCCUGCAAUCUCAGGUACUCUGGAGUCUAAGGCAGAAGGAUAGGCCAGGCCGGGCUACAUAGUGAAGUCAAACCCACCCGGGCAGCUUAGUUGGAUUCUCUCCUAAAAUUAAUGGUAAAAACUGGUCAGUGGUAGAGUACUUGCCUAGCAUGUACAAGGUCCUAGGUUUAAUCUCUUGUUAUAUGUGUAUGUGUGUUCAUGCCCAUGUGUGAACAUGCCCAGGAGGAAAAGGGAGUGGGCUAUUUGUGAAGCUUGAAGUCUCUGCAACUCAAAAGGUCACAGAAGUUGAUUAAUAACUUUAAAGGAAUUUUGAUGUUUUGGUGAAAUGGAGGUUUGAGUUAAAUCAGCACUUUUCCAAUGUUUCCUUGCUGUUUUGUUUUGUUUUGUUUUUACGUAGACAAAGCUCAGGGCUCAGUGCUAGGUAAAGUGUGAGCUUAAUGUGGGUGAGGCCUGGCUUCCCCCAAACAAAUAAGUAGACCAAAUAAGUUCAACUAUAAGGGAAAUUAGGGAGUUCUUCAAUUUGAAAUAUGAUUAGGAAUUUGAAAAAAAUCUUUAUUUUAUAAUUAUUUUUGUAGCUAGGGCCUCAUGCAGUCAGACAGGCCUUAAACGCCUGAUGUAGUUGAAGAUGACUUUGCCUUCCUGAUCUUCCUGCCUUCCCCUCUCAAGCGCUGGGAUUGGGCCACCACACCUAACGUUCAUUCAUUCAUUUAUUUUUACUUAAAACUUUUAUAUGUAUUUAUAAAAGGUGGCUGUGUAGUGUCGCAUUUGUAGGACUGAGGAGGUUAACAUAGCUCCUUUCCCUUAAACAUUUUUUUAAAACUUCCUGCAUGAAGAUAAAAGUUUUUAUUAAUCUCAUAGCUAGUAAUACAAGUCAGAAAUCUUUCCCCAAAAGGUUAAAGAGUAAAUAUCUUAAAUUU
rnacentral:lncRNA from 1 species